rnacentral:rRNA from 1 species
AUACGCCCCGUGUUUCAUGUGUCACAGCUGAAGUCAUUCACCGCGAACUACUCUCCGGUCUUCUCCGAGUUGCCGGAGCCGCCAGAUCUCUCCGCCAUGCCACUGCAACCGUUGGCUAUUCUAGAAUGUCGCAUGGUCAAGAAGGGGAACACGGCGAUACCACAGGUCAAGGUACGCCGAAGCGGCAUCCCGGAUGAACACAUGAUGUGGGAAGAUUACUAUGUCCUGCGCUCGCGUUUUCCGGCGGCCACUCUCCGGGAAGAAGCUAAAUCUCAAGGCAGGGGGAGUGUCACGUCCCCACCUCUGACUGGGUCGCAGGUGGCGACGGACCACCAGGCAGCGGGACCCGACCCCACUCGUCAGGGACCUCAAGUGGCUGGUUGA